UAAUACGGAGGGUGCAAGCGUUAAUCGGAAUUACUGGGCGUAAAGCGCACGCAGGCGGUUUGUUAAGUCAGAUGUGAAAUCCCCGGGCUCAACCUGGGAACUGCAUCUGAUACUGGCAAGCUUGAGUCUCGUAGAGGGGGGUAGAAUUCCAGGUGUAGCGGUGAAAUGCGUAGAGAUCUGGAGGAAUACCGGUGGCGAAGGCGGCCCCCUGGACGAAGACUGACGCUCAGGUGCGAAAGCGUGGGGAGCAAACAGGAUUAGAUACCCUGGUAGUCCACGCCGUAAACGAUGUCGACUUGGAGGUUGUGCCCUUGAGGCGUGGCUUCCGGAGCUAACGCGUUAAGUCGACCGCCUGGGGAGUACGGCCGCAAGGUUAAA
rnacentral:rRNA from 1 species